rnacentral:lncRNA from 1 species
CGCUGAAAUCGCGAUACACAUGCAUGCAAUGCGUGACGGCGAAAUCCACCAUAAACCUCGUUUCCGCUUAUGCGAAAGCUCGCAGCGACACGAAAUUUGCGGGAACCCUAAUCACGCGGUUCCGACGACGGCCCCAGCGGUCAAUCCUGGUCGACUUCUUCCUUAUCGUUGCCGGCCUGGUGCUGGUCGUGGUGCUCCUCUAUUACUGGCUGUCCUGACGCCCGGCCCACACUCUACACCUCGCAAGGAUGCUGUGAUCGGCGCCAUUUUCCUUCCGCCCAACUUUCUCCAGCGUCACAUUCUCGAAGCCCCCACGACGCCAAAGAAGUGGUGCUAUGUGAGAGCGCGGUCUCGUUGAACGAAACCACCGGGCGAAGUCAAGUGGCCGUCUGAACAAAUAAGUGUAUACGGCCGUGAAUCUGUUUACGUGAAACCACGUAUCCGGCAGUUCGGCGUGCUGGUGCUGGGAACUCCUCUGUGCUUCAGUUGUCCAGGCCAACGUCCACGUGACGCUCCACCAUGGUCGCCACUGAUGCAAGACACCUGUUCCUUGGUCCACUGUAGCGAGAUUACCUAAUCACCCGUGUUAUACCUGGAUUUAGUGUUUGUUUGGUGCCAGAUCACGACACCCCGAACGUGUCAGAGGGAUUGUCGUCGAGAGGGACACCAGUUAAGAGGAACCAUGACAAGGAUUGAGAGCAAAGCCAGACUUUAUUUUGCUUGCAUGUUUGUGUAUCCUAGCGUCCAAACUUGCGCAGUCUUCACAAGGAAUGUUUGUGGUUCUGUGCGUUACGACAUGAGCUGACUUGGCAUCCGGAGCCAUACGGAGCCCGCCGUAGCGGGUGGUUCCUGGACUCUAAUGAGUUAUUAGAACUGUGUGUUUUGUGUUGGUACAUACGCGGACGCGAUAAUGGGAAGCAUGCAUUUAUCUUCUAGAAAGACACUGGUUCAAUUUAGUGAGAUAAAAUGGCUAUAUGUGCGAGCCAUUUGUUUAA